rnacentral:lncRNA from 1 species
GACCACUGAGCCACAUCCCCAGCCCUCUUCUGCAUUUUAUUUAGAGACAGGGUCUUGCUAAGUUGCUUAGCACCUCUUUUUUGCUGAGGUUGGCUUUGAAUUCUUGAUCCUCCUAUCUCAGCCUCCCGCCCGAGCCACUGGGAUUACAGGCAUGUGUCGCUGUGUCCAGCUCAUUUAUUUAUUUUUAUUUAUUUAUUUUGCAGUACUUGUGAUUGAAUUUAGAGGUGCUCUACUGCUGAGUGACAACCUUUUUUUUUUUUUUUUAAUUUUGAGACAGAAUCUUACUAAAUUGCCAUAGGCCUCAAAUUUUUGAUCCUCCUGCUUCACUCUCCUAAAUUGCUGGGAUUACAGGCAUGCACCAUCACACUUGGUGAGGGGUUUUUUUGUUUUUGUUUUUUUCUCAACUGGCCUUCCCCUUGGCUCAGAAUGAAAAUCAUCACAUCAUUUCUACUUGACUUUUCCACCAUGCAUAGGGCCCCAAGAGAUGCUGGGAUUCAUCUCAUGCCUGGACUAAGGAUCCUUUUUUCUCCUGUUUGCUCAUUGGAAAUUAGCACUCAACAGUUCACCUUUCUUUGCCUUUACCUGCCCACGUGUAGGUCUAGAACCUGGCCCCCCAGGUCCUUCACCCACAAGGCUAAACUAAGUAAGACCAGAAGGAAAAGUUGUCCUUUCACUCUGCCAUCAGGGUGUGAAUAGUUUUCCACAAGUGUUCUUGCCCCAGAAUAGGCCCAGGGUUACUACUCAGUUGGUUGCUGUUUGACCAGCCCCUUCAUCCUUCAGAGACUGUAGCUUUCAUGGCAUUAUGCCUCUCCCUUCACAGUGGCCUCUGGCCUCUUUUAGAGCUGAUGACUCUGCCUUUUCCCUCUUCUUCCAUAGCUCCAGGAGCUGGUCUGCCAUGUGAUGAUGGGGAACCUGGUCAUGUUUCGAAAAGAUUCAGUCCUCAACAUACUCAGUAAGUGACCAGACCUUUUAGAUGCCCAGGAGAGGAGAGAGUGUCGGCCUAUGUGUUUUCCAGUGACAAGAACACUGGUUCUGGGGCUGGGAGUGGAGGGGUAGCACGCCACCCCAGCCUACCUGCUAUGUGGUCUUGGAUUGGUCUCUUUCAUAAGAUGGAAAGGUUUACCUCUGUCCCUCUAACUUCAGGGUGGGUGGGAAUACAGAAGCCCUGUGAAGACUGAAAUCAGGUGUCAUGUGGAAAGGGCAAGGGCCUAGAUUUAAGGUCACUGUCCCUCCCCUUACGCCAUCCCUGCCCUAUCUUGUCCCUAUUUGGAGUGCUGAUAGCCAGUUAGCUGAGCGUGUGUGUGUAAGAGAGAGAUAGAUGGAGGUUUCUUGUCUCUUCCAGUCCAGAGCCUAGACUGGGAAACCUUUGAGCAGUAUUGUGCCUGGCAGCUCUUCCUGGCCCACAACAUCCCCCUGGAGACCAUAAUCCCCAUCCUGCAGCACCUCAAAUACAAGGGUGAGUAGGGUUGAAGAUGGGAGAAGACCUCCAGUGCAGCUGGGGCAGGGCUGAGGCCGCCAGCUUCUAGGGUGAACCAGAGCCCUGCUCCUUCCCACCAUGGUGCAGAGAGCAGGCUCACUGUUGGUCAUUGGGCCCUGGAGAUGAGCUUUGCAGGUGCAUCCUGAGCCUGGCCCCUGGGCUGUGGCUCAGAUGCCUCUGGCAUUAGGAUCAGGGUAGGGGAUUCUUCCUGGCUUUUCGUCAAGGACUGUCCUUGGUCUUCCAGUGGCUGUUGGUGGGGGUGUGGGAGAGGUGCCCAGAUCCAUUCGUGGAAUAACACAUUCCUCUGAGCAGCCUGUACCCUUCCCCCAUAGAACACCCAGAGGCCCUGUCCUGCCUGCUGCUGCAGCUCCGAAGAGAAAAGUGAGUUCUACCCUUAGAGACUCUUAGCCCUUAGUCCCAAUGUCCUAAGAGAUACUGUGGCAUAAAGGGCUCUGUCCUGCUCCUUUUGCCAUGUUUGUUUCCUAUUAUUGACAUCUGCUUAUUCUGCCCUCCCCUCAGUGUGACUUACAAAUAAGCAGUCCCCUGGGAUCUGGGCUUCCUCUGACUUUACCCCCCCUGCCCACCAGAAACUGUCCUCAGAGGUGGGGACCGGACAUCCCUGUUUCCUGCUACCACAGCAGUUCUAAUCCUGGUGGCUCAUGCUCCCCUCCCUCAUGCUCCUGCAGGCCACCACAGGCUAAUCCAGGAGGAGGAAGGGUCAGAGUAGAGGGCUCACACCCAUGCUCUCCCUUAACCUACACAGUGCAGAGCCAGCUGGGCCCAUUGUGCCCCUGCCAGGGGUGGGGCAUGGUGGGCAAGAAAGCAGAAGUCUCCUCUUCCAUCACAGGCAACUUAGCACCAUCCCCAGGCUAAUGGGGCCACAGCUGUGUGUCUUUUCCUUCCUACCUUCUUGUCUUCCUUCCACCUUUUCUCCUGAGACACUAGAAAUGGUACAGAAUUUCCUGGGGAAGUGGGAAGUUUGGAGGCCUCUCUCCUGCCCCUCCCUCAACCUGGAUACCAGGCUUACCCCCAGCUCCAGCAGGUCAGGGGACCACAGACUUGUCCUUUGUCUCUUAGUCUCCCUCCUGACUCCUCUGGGGUAGCUAGGAGUUUGUUGGGCCUCCUUCCUGACACAUACUUGCACACUUUCCACCAUCAAACAGAAUAAUCUCACUUCUCCUCUGGCUUCUGCAGAGAGUGCAGCCAUGUGUUCCUUGGCCCAAAGAGAAGUGGGGGAGGGAUGUGAGUGUAGGAAGCGACAGCCAGGCUUGGGUUGGGUAGGGAGGCUCAGAUUCGGGAAAUCAGUAGUAAGUAAGCGGCUCCUAAGGCCAGUGUGUGGGCACAGCAUCCAGCACCCUGCUCCCCCCAGGCCCAGUGAGGAGAUGGUAAAGAUGGUCCUGAGCCGGCCCUGUCAUCCCGACGACCAGUUCACCACCAGCAUCCUGCGGCACUGGUGCAUGAAGCACGAUGAGCUGCUGGCAGAGCACAUCAAGUCCCUGCUCAUCAAGAACAAUAGCCUCCCUCGCAAGAGGCAGAGGUGGGAUGUGGUCCUUGUUUCCUGCCCACUGUCAACGGGGCAUCACCAGGGCAGUCUACAGUGACUGCCGCCUACGGUUGGUGGGUGACAUCUAGUGGUCUGAAGCCAUGCGGCCUAUAGGACCAGUGUGGCUCCUACUCCCCUCUCAUCGUGCCCUGCAGCUGUACACCUUUCUUAGCACACCCAGUCCUCCUAUCUCCCCUGGGGAAUGGACUGCCUCUGUCCUGAGGAGGGAUCUCGGUGAGGUGGAGGUGUCACACGACUGGAGCCCUCCCUUUAGGCUCAGACCAGCUCUUGUCACCUCCCUGUGCAGUCUCAGAAGCUCAAGCAGCAAGCUGGCCCAGCUGACUCUAGAGCAGAUCCUGGAGCACUUGGACAACCUGCGGCUCAACCUGACCAACACCAAGCAGAACUGUAUGCUUCUUACCCUCUUGGGGUCUAGUGCGUGGAGUGCUGCCCAGCUCAGACGCCCCUAAAGCCAGGCGGGUGGCAGGGGCAGAACCAGAACCCAAACUCUUGGGAGGAAACAAGCUUUGGUGUGGUUUAAUAAGCUCCCAGACAUCUAAUCAUUUUUCUUCCCUGCUCUCCUUUCCUUCUCCCUCCAGUUUUUAGCCAGACCCCAAUCCUCCAGGCACUGCAGCAUGUCCAAGCAAGUUGUGAUGAAGCCCACAAGAUGAAGUGAGGCUCCUUCCACUUCUGGUCUUGGGAAGUAGCGAGCAGAAGGCCUAGGGGAGAGGAGGCCCACUGGGGACACAAGCUUAAUAGCCAUCAAGACCCUGAGGUUGGGCUGGGAAUAUAGCUCAGUUGUAGAGUGCUUCUCUUGCAUCACAAGGCUCUGGGUUCAAUCCCCAGCACCGCCAAAAAACACCAACAAAAAAACCCCAAGGUUGAUAAGAGAAAUAGACCUAAGCCUGUGGGCAGAAAACAGCAUGGGAGGUGGCCAUGGGGUCAGGAUGUUCCACUCUGAGAGUUUAUUCUCCUUCCCCUUAGGUUCAGUGACCUCUUCUCCCUGGCAGAGGAAUAUGAGGACUCGUCUACUAAGCCACCCAAGAGCCGGCGAAAGGCAGCUCUGUCUAGCCCUCGAAGUCGGAAGAAUGCCACUCAGCCGCCCAAUGCUGAGGAAGAGUCGGGCUCCAGCAGUGCCUCGGUGAGACCCCGUCCAGCACCAUGGGGAGAGGCGCAAUGGGGCGGAUGGAAUGGGGGCCAGCAGGCAGCUGCCCAGCUAGUGAUUUCCCUUCUCCCCAUCCCCGUCUCUUCCAGGAGGAAGAAGACACAAAACCAAAGCCCACCAAGCGGAAACGAAAAGGGUCUUCUGCCGUGGGUUCUGACAGUGACUGAGAUCCUAUGUUCCCCAUCCUACCCUCAAUUGGACUGCCCUCCCCCUGGUGAAUCAAAGGGUAACAGGGCUGGGGAGAUACAGGGAAGAUGCCCUCCCUGCCCUGAGCUUGCCCAGUGGAAAGGAUGAGCUGCUUCUGACACCAGCCUGAGGAGCUGCCGUGCAGCCCCCCUCUGCCUCUCUGUCCUGGGGCCUCCUGUUCCCCACAUUGCCACUUCCACUGCCAUUUGGGUCUCAUGGCAGCCAGAGGCUGUGCCAGACCAGACCCUGGUGGAAUUGAUCAGCUCCCUGCCCCUCCUUCAGCCCCCUCCCCAUCUCCCAAAGAACGCUUAGCAGAGAAGGGCAGUGACAAAGGGGCGCCUGGCUGAGAGGCUAGGACGAGAGCAGGUGCUGGCUGUGGGUCCGCUUCCUGCUUCCCCGGGUUCUGGAUUUGCUCUGAACACAUGCUCUGUGGUCAUUCUCCACACCAGUGUGUAGUGGGCAUCGACCUGGUAUGGUGGCCACUAUUCCAGGCAGAUGCCAUAAACCUUCAGGAAGGAACCUGAAAGGGACUGUGCCCAGGAGGCUUGGGUUGAUCUGCAGUUGUCACCUAAGGCUGGGCCACAGCCCAGGAGAGUCCCAGAGGCAAGUUCCUCAGAACUGUCAAAUGGUCUGGUUUCCUAGGUUCUGUUUUUGCUUUUUUUUUUUUUUCUUUUUGACUUUUUUCCCUCCAGAGAUAAUCACAUUAAAAAAAUUGUUUUUAAAUGACAAUAAAACAAACCAGAAGAUCUUUUGUGCCGGAAUUGGAGUCCCAUUUAC